UUGGGGAAUAUUGGACAAUGGGGGGAACCCUGAUCCAGCCAUGCCGCGUGUGUGAAGAAGGCCUUUUGGUUGUAAAGCACUUUAAGCGAGGAGGAGGCUACCGAGAUUAAUACUCUUGGAUAGUGGACGUUACUCGCAGAAUAAGCACCGGCUAACUCUGUGCCAGCAGCCGCGGUAAUACAGAGGGUGCAAGCGUUAAUCGGAUUUACUGGGCGUAAAGCGCGCGUAGGUGGCCAAUUAAGUCAAAUGUGAAAUCCCCGAGCUUAACUUGGGAAUUGCAUUCGAUACUGGUUGGCUAGAGUAUGGGAGAGGAUGGUAGAAUUCCAGGUGUAGCGGUGAAAUGCGUAGAGAUCUGGAGGAAUACCGAUGGCGAAGGCAGCCAUCUGGCCUAAUACUGACACUGAGGUGCGAAAGCAUGGGGAGCAAACAGGAUUAGAUACCCUGGUAGUCC
rnacentral:rRNA from 1 species